rnacentral:rRNA from 1 species
UACGGGGGGAGCAAGCGUUGUUCGGAUUUACUGGGCGUAAAGGGCGCGUAGGCGGCCACGACAAGUCAGUUGUGAAAUCUCUGGGCUUAACUCAGAACGGUCAACUGAUACUGUCGGGCUAGAGUGCAGAAGGGGCAACUGGAAUUCUCGGUGUAGCGGUGAAAUGCGUAGAUAUCGAGAGGAACACCUGCGGCGAAGGCGGGUUGCUGGGCUGACACUGACGCUGAGGCGCGAAAGCUAGGGGAACGAACGGG